GACGAACGCUGGCGGCGUGCUUAACACAUGCAAGUCGAACGGGUCUGCCCUGUUUUUUGCGGGGUGGGUCAGUGGCGAACGGGUGAGUAACACGUGAGUAACCUGCCCCUCACUUCUGGAUAACCGCUUGAAAGGGUGGCUAAUACGGGGUGUUCUGGCUGUGCCGCAUGGUGUGGCUGGGAAAGAUUCACUUUUGUGGUGUUUUGGUGGGGGAUGGGCUCGCGGCCUAUCAGCUUGUUGGUGGGGUGAUGGCCUGCCAAGGCUUUGACGGGUAGCCGGCAUGAGAGGGUGGGCGGUCACACUGGUGCUGAGAUACGGCCCAGACUCCUGCGGGAGGCAGCAGUGGGGGGUAUUGCACAAUGGGCGGAAGCCUGAUGCAGCGACGUCGCGUGAGGGAUGGAGGCCUUCGGGUUGUGAACCUUUUUCGCCGGUGAAGAAGGUCCUGCUCUUUGUGGUGGGGUUGACGGUAGCCGGGUUAUGAAGCGCCGGCUAACUACGUG
rnacentral:rRNA from 1 species